AUAUAUUUUAUAUAUAGACAGUUUAGGCUCUCUGGCUCUGUUGUGUUAGUUGACUUAGUUUGAUCUAAUCAUGUUGUAUCACCAUGUCGUGCUACGGCAUGUAAAUUCCUGGAUUCCAGAGCCUUCGACAGUAAAUAAUAAAUUGAAACGUCGCGAAGGCUCUGGUUCAACGGGGAGAUUCUUUGAUUAAACCGCGCCAAUCACAAAACAGAAUUAGUGGUUUUAGUACAGAAUCUGUACUUAUAUAUGUAUAUUUCAAAUAUUAAAUAAAUAUCAUCACUUCGGGUAAUAUUCCGCCGAAUCCCCCUCGCUUCGGGUCUAUAAAUGAUAAAUAAACUAUAUGCUAAAGAAAACCUUGACAAUUUAAAAUACUAGAUAAUUUUCAAUAAGCGUCAGUGCAUAGUUUCUUCAUUGGAUUGCGAGGUUUCCGAAUGUGUGAUUAAUAUAUCUCCAAUGUUCAUCGCAGAGAAGUGGCAUUAUCUCACGUGCAUGCAUGGGAUAAUAGCGUGAGGUAGUUGGAAAUACGGCUGCUUUUUCUGGAUGCAUGUUGGAACACAAUGAAAGUACUAAACAUUACG